CAGUCGUACCUUCGGGUAAUCAGCCUUUCGGGUGCGAUUCUGUGGAGUGUGAGGAGCUUAACACCUUCAUGCUUUGCAUAUUUGUGCUCUUGGGUGUACUUGCUCGUGUGGUUGGUUAACAUCAAUUUCGAUUAUCAUAAAAUGAUUGGAGGAAUGUAGCUUCGAUCUCGUAUUGAAGUGUUAUAGCCUUCGGUAGAUAUGAUGAUCGAGAUUGAGGAUUGCAACGGAUACCCUUCGGGGCUACCUGUCUGGUCUCUGAUCGUUGCUUUGGUGCCGAAAGCGUGCUUACGGUUAUCAAAGUCGAUGGUCAAUAGGUUAGAACGGGUUAAA
rnacentral:rRNA from 1 species